AUGGCCGACAAAGAAGAGCUAGCCCUCUCUCUCGUCUCCCCUUUCUCCAGAGAAAGAAUCGCCAACGUGCGGCUGUCACUGGCUGCAGACGGCGACGGCGGACUUAGCACCUCACCUCAGGUCGCCGCCGGCCUCCUCCUGCCCCAAGGUCCUCCUCCAACAGCUCGCUGCUGCCACUUCCGUCAACGAGAUCGACCUCCACUUGGUCUCCGACAAAGAUCGAGCAAGCAAAACACAUCAGGUAAUUAUGCUCCUCAUUUCUAUUUCCUACCUAGCGUGCGUUCUAGACUGUUUUGUUGGUGGCUGCAUCAAGAAUCCAAUCCAAUAGAGAUGUAA
rnacentral:rRNA from 1 species